UUAGGGUGCCGUCUUUCUUACAAGUCUAUACUAUUUCAUCUGUCUUUUCCGUGUCGUGAUGUCUAAGGCUUUAUUGAAGUGUUGUUCUGUAAUUAGUUUUGAGCUAAGUGGUUAAUGAUGAUAAAUCCAAAGGCUUGUUUCUCAAACAUUCGCAGUGGCCGCCUAAGAGCUUUCGCCUUUCGCCAGGCUUGAGAUUGUGCAGGUUCCUCCGUAUGGUCGCCUCUGUGGCUUGCAAUAUCUCGUGCAAGGAUUAAUAGGCUUAAUUGUUAUUGUAUCAUAAUGUAAAAAUAAAAUUUCUGUUUCUUGUAAUAUCCUACCCGUUGUAUCUAAAAUUUUAAUUAAAACAAUUUUUUGUUCUCUGUAGUUGACAAUAUUUCUUUUAUAAGAUCCAUAACGUUGUAUUAUGAAAUCAACAUGAUCGGCAAUUUUUCUU